rnacentral:rRNA from 1 species
UACGUAGGGUGCAAGCGUUAAUCGGAAUUACUGGGCGUAAAGCGUGCGCAGGCGGUUUUGUAAGUCUGUCGUGAAAGCCCCGGGCUCAACCUGGGAAUGGCAUUGGUGACUGCACGGCUAGAGUGUGUCAGAGGGGUAGAAUUCCACGUGUAGCAGUGAAAUGCGUAGAGAUGUGGAGGAAUACCGAUGGCGAAGGCAGCCCUGGGAUAACACUGACGCUCAUGCACGAAAGCGUGGGAGCAAACAGG